rnacentral:lncRNA from 1 species
CUUGGAACAUGCUCUGAGGCUGGGUAAAGAUGCUAUUUGGACUUACUAGUUAGGCAGGUGUAGCCUUUUUGUUCUGCUGAAAUUCUCAGUGGCAAGCUUAUUUCUAUCUAGGCAGGGUCCUGGAGUAGACUCUGACACUGAGAAGAGGUGUUCUUCAAACUCCUGGUUCUUGCAAAUCUAUCCCAUGUGCUCUGAAGAAAUUAUUAGAGAUGGAUGUUUCUUUGCCUGUGUGAGGCAUGGGGUUGGUGCUGAGGCUGAAGGUGAAACUAUUUUAAACUUCCUACCAUGCUUUUAGGAGUGGUCAGGUGGUCAGGCUUUGCAGGUGGGUUGUGCUAAUGGCUGCUAUCUCAGAUCAGGUGCUACUGCUGACUGGGGCAUCAAACUUAAAACACCAAGCUACCACCAAAAUCUGUGUGCUAGUUUCUGUGAGCUCCACCACCUUUCUUUGUUUCUACUUCACACAUGACAGUUGAGCUGUGCCAUUGGCCCCAGUGUUCCUGAUGAGGUGAGACAGGAAUGGGCUUCCUGGAAUGUGUUUUGGAGUUCUAUGGAAGCUGAAUGUCCAUCACUGGUUCUCUUUUUCUACUGUAUAAAUCAUGUGACCAGGGAAAUCCUCUAUAUUUGGCAUUUUAUUUAAUUGGGGGGAAUUGGAGGGGUGACGUAGCCAAACUAAGACCAUUUCUUUUAUCCUUCUCACAUGUUUUUAUUCAGUUCUAUGGUUCCAAGUGGGUGUAUCAGUUUUGUUCCCAAGUUUUGGGUUUUUCACAAAGGCUUUUGUACAUAGUUGCUAAUUGAACUUUUUGCUGAAAAGAAUGAAGCCUGAGUGUUCCUAUUCCACCCAGUAGUAUCUUAAAAAUAUCUUCUGAAUGACUAUACAGUGAAUGAUUUCUAUCAUGCAUAGAAGCUUACACUACUUUCCAAAAAGCUUGACAAUAUAUAGUGACAAUGCUAAAUUUUCCACAAUCCCCCAAUUUUUAUUAAUUUUUGUGGUAUUGGGGAUUAAACUUUUUUAUUUGAUAAAUCAUCUUAAAAGGAUACACUUUUAGAUCUUGGAAAAUCUUUGCAAAUGUCAAGGGCAUGCUUGCAUGUGAUGAUUAGAUAUUUGGUCAACAUGAUUAUGGCUGAAAAUCUUGCCAAUUAUUCUGUGGGGGAGGGCUUUCCUUUUGACUUGUAAUUAUGGUUAGGUAACUUCUGCAGAGUCACGGGGGAAAUUAAAAAAACAAAAGAUAAUUAAAAAAUAAAGGAUGACACAUUUUAAACUUAUGUAGCCAGCUAAGGCACAGACUCUCUCCUUUCUCAGCUAUUUGUCAUUUAUGAACCUGAAAGUAUUUUGCUGAGUGGGGCUAUUUUCUUUG